rnacentral:rRNA from 1 species
AAACAUUUCCUCUUAGAUAAAGAGGUAAGGCCUGCUCACUGAAUUUUAAAGAGCCGCAGUAUUCUAACUGUGCUAAGGUAGCAUAAUCAUUAGUCUUUUAAUUGGAGACUGGUAUGAAUGGCUUAACGAGAAAUUGACUUUUUUUGUUAUAAAGAUUGAAUUUAAUUUUUUAGUGAAAAAGCUAAAAUUGUUCAGAAAGACGAGAAGACCCUUUAGAGUUUUAUGUUUUAAAAAUAAAUUUUUAUUAGAUUUUGAAUUAUGUAUUUUUAUAAAACAUUUUGUUGGGGCGACAUAAAGAUAAAUAAAACUCUUUAUAUUAAAAAUUUUUAUAAAAAUAUUCUUGAUCCUUUAUAAGAGAUUAUAAGAAAAAAUUACCUUAGGGAUAACAGCGUAAUCUUUUUUAAGAGUUCUAAUCGACAAAAAGGUUUGCGACCUCGAUGUUGGACUAAAAUUUAGGCAGGGUGCAGCAGUUCUGCUUUAAGGUCUGUUCGACCUAUAAAA